GUGGGGAAUAUUGGACAAUGGGGGGAACCCUGAUCCAGCCAUGCCGAGUGUGCGAAGAAGGCCUUUUGGUUGUAAAGCACUUUAAGUGGGGAGGAGGCUUACCUGGUUAAUACCUGGGCUAAGUGGACGUUACCCACAGAAUAAGCACCGGCUAACUCUGUGCCAGCAGCCGCGGUAAUACAGAGGGUGCGAGCGUUAAUCGGAUUUACUGGGCGUAAAGCGCGCGUAGGUGGUUAAUUAAGUCAAAUGUGAAAUCCCCGAGCUUAACUUGGGAAUUGCAUUCGAUACUGGUUGGCUAGAGUAUGGGAGAGGAUGGUAGAAUUCCAGGUGUAGCGGUGAAAUGCGUAGAGAUCUGGAGGAAUACCGAUGGCGAAGGCAGCCAUCUGGCCUAAUACUGACACUGAGGUGCGAAAGCAUGGGGAGCAAACAGGAUUAGAAACCCUGGUAGUCC
rnacentral:rRNA from 1 species